rnacentral:rRNA from 1 species
GACGAACGCUGGCGGCGUGCUUAACACAUGCAAGUCGAACGGAAAGGCCCUGCUUUUGUGGGGUGCUCGAGCGGCGAACGGGUGAGUAACACGUGAGUAACCUGCCCUUGACUUUGGGAUAACUUCAGGAAACUGGGGCUAAUACCGGAUAGGAGCUCCUGCUGCAUGGUGGGGGUUGGAAAGUUUCGGCGGUUGGGGAUGGACUCGCGGCUUAUCAGCUUGUUGGUGGGGUAGUGGCUUACCAAGGCUUUGACGGGUAGCCGGCCUGAGAGGGUGACCGGCCACAUUGGGACUGAGAUACGGCCCAGACUCCUACGGGAGGCAGCAGUGGGGAAUAUUGCACAAUGGGCGGAAGCCUGAUGCAGCAACGCCGCGUGCGGGAUAACGGCCUUCGGGUUGUAAACCGCUUUCGCCUGUGACGAAGCGUGAGUGACGGUAAUGGGUAAAGAAGCACCGGCUAACUACGUGCCAGCAGCCGCGGUGAUACGUAGGGUGCGAGCGUUGUCCGGAUUUAUUGGGCGUAAAGGGCUCGUAGGUGGUUGAUCGCGUCGGAAGUGUAAUCUUGGGGCUUAACCCUGAGCGUGCUUUCGAUACGGGUUGACUUGAGGAAGGUAGGGGAGAAUGGAAUUCCUGGUGGAGCGGUGGAAUGCGCAGAUAUCAGGAGGAACACCAGUGGCGAAGGCGGUUCUCUGGGCCUUUCCUGACGCUGAGGAGCGAAAGCGUGGGGAGCGAACAGGCUUAGAUACCCUGGUAGUCCACGCUGUAAACGGUGGGUACUAGGUGUGGGGUCCAUUCCACGGGUUCCGUGCCGUAGCUAACGCUUUAAGUACCCCGCCUGGGGAGUACGGCCGCAAGGCUAAAACUCAAAGGAAUUGACGGGGCCCCGCACAAGCGGCGGAGCAUGCGGAUUAAUUCGAUGCAACGCGUAGAACCUUACCUGGGUUUGACAUGGAUCGGGAGUGCUCAGAGAUGGGUGUGCCUCUUUUGGGGUCGGUUCACAGGUGGUGCAUGGCUGUCGUCAGCUCGUGUCGUGAGAUGUUGGGUUAAGUCCCGCAACGAGCGCAACCCUUGUUCACUGUUGCCAGCACGUUAUGGUGGGGACUCAGUGGAGACCGCCGGGGUCAACUCGGAGGAAGGUGGGGAUGACGUCAAGUCAUCAUGCCCCUUAUGUCCAGGGCUUCACGCAUGCUACAAUGGCUGGUACAGAGAGUGGCGAGCCUGUGAGGGUGAGCGAAUCUCGGAAAGCCGGUCUCAGUUCGGAUUGGGGUCUGCAACUCGACCUCAUGAAGUCGGAGUCGCUAGUAAUCGCAGAUCAGCAACGCUGCGGUGAAUACGUUCCCGGG